CCUGUUCCUCAUCUACGGAUAGCGGCCAAGAAUUAACGAAUGUGCUUUUGUUUUGGCCAAUUGACAGUAGGGCUGCAACUAACGAUUAUUUUGAUAAUCGAUUAAUCUGUCGAUUUGUUUUUGAUUGAUCGCAUAAAAAAAUAAAAAGUAUUUUGAUGUUUUGCUAAUUUUUUUAUCAGGGUUUUUUUAACAGAAUUUUGAUUUUGACUCUUUAAAUCUAAAAGAAAACACAACAUCCAGCAUUUGAAUAAUAAAACUUUAAUAUACAAAAUAUAAAUAAACAAAGCAAGCACAGAGUUUUGUUCCAAUGUGAAGGUCUGCAGCAGCUCAAGGCAAUGUGACAGGAGAACGUGUAAACUCCACAGAGACUCCUGGGCUCCUUCUGGCUCCGAGGCAACAGUGACAACCACUAAAACCAUGUCGUCAUAUUUUAACACUGCUGUUACUUUUAGUGUCUGCACCGUUGAAAGGAAAACCUCAACGAUUUUCAAUAGGGUUGACCUAAAGUACCUCGGGUAAUAUUUUUAAGAACGAAGGGACAGAUUGCUCCAUAAGUUCUAUGCAAGUUAUGAUUUAUUCCUGCCAUAAGACGCCUUCGGCAGAUGGUUUGCCGUGGGCUCAAAAAGUACAACUAGUGCUUCCUGGUUUCUUCUAUACCUGCCCCAACAAUGGUCAAACUGAGAGGAGGGCGAGGCCAACCUGCUGGAGUGCAACUGCUCGGUCCACCAUUGUUUUUCUCGCAUACCCGUACAGCUCUAAUAUUCAGUGGUCAAAGGUCCCGCUGUAGAUUAUUUAGACAGCGAGUUCUACAGUACAGUCUGAUAUUCGUGGUUAGUUGUAUGAGCCAGAGUACAGCGCCGAUGAGUUACGCCGUGUGGAGGAGGGCGAGGCUGCACUGGCAUCCUGAAGCAGAGAGCCCAGACCUGGCGUUGGGCAGAGCCAAAGGCCGAAUGCAUUGCGUCUCCGAACUGCUGGACAGACCAAAUAAAGGAGCUGCGAAAGGUCAAAUGAGCAUCGAGCAAUUAUGGCUUCACCACUGCCGAUUUCUCUGGGAUGAAGUGCCAGUACUGCUGACGGGGGAACGUGUGUUAGGGACCAUUUGUUUUGUACUUCUUGUAAACAUAGUAGUAGUCCAAACAAGGCCAAGGACAAACUAGAAAAAAACAACCGGGACAGAACGGUGGAAUGAGCACUGAGCAAUAUGGACUGGUCGUGUAUCGUCACAGGCUCUUGGAAGGGACAAGCGUCUUGUUUUUUCCAGCCACUAACAGCAGAUAAAGAAAAGAAGAGGGUUUCUGCUAAAUGAAGAAUCUGUGGCUUUCUAACAACUUUGUGCUUUGAGUCAUAAUAAAAAGCUGCGACUUACAAUGUCUUUUAUUCAAACACACACUCAAAUAUAUAAUUUUGUUAAAAAUGUAACGCAGUGUCUGAAUGUUUGUCUGUUAAAUUCAUUUGUGCUUCUUUCAGCGCAGAGACAUGGUGCAUCUGGCUCUCGGCUGUCUUUUACAGGGCAGCUUCGUCCUCCUCCAAAUGGUGUAACUCGUCACGCUGUACUCUGGCUCAUACAACUAACCACGAAUAUCAGACUGUGCUGUAGAAUUCGCUGUCUAAAUAAUCUACAGCGGGACCUUUGACCACUGAAUAUUAGUGCUGUACGGGUAUGCGAAAAAAACAAUGGCGGACCGAGCAGUUGCGCUCCAGCAGGCUGGCUCCGCCCCUCUCAGUCUGACCAUUGUUGGGACGCAGGUGCAGAGGAAACCAUGAAAGCACAAGUUGUAGGCUGUGAGCCCGAUGCAAAAAGUCUUCUGAGGUGUGUCAGAAGACUUUGGCAGGGGAAUGAAUGAUAAUUUCUGUGCAUAGAUAAUAUGGAGGAAUCUGAGUGUCUCUUCAUUCUUACAUACUACCCAAAAUCGUUUUGGUCAGCCCCCAUUAAAAAUCUGUGACAUUUUUCUUUGUUGCGCUGUUUUGUGGUUGACAGGUUAACGUUGUCUUUUGUUUGAUAUUCAAUGCUCAUAUGAAGAAAUUGGGGCACAGCCUUUCUCCUGGUUCUGCUUGGUUUGUUUUUUACGGCAUUUCACCAGCCGGUAUGUUAUUUUACAGUCGCGCUGCACCAGAUAAUUAACAGCCCGACUAAUAACAGCAAAUCAUUAUCGACAAAAUUCCGUCAUCAAUUAUUAUUGAUUCAUUGUUGCAGCCCUAGUUGAAAGGCAAGAAAUUUAUUCCAGUCACAUGUCAGAAGUUUGUCUUGGUAACCAUUUGAUUUACAAAAUUAAAUCCAACAAAAUUGGAAAAAAGUUUGCAUAUAAACAGUAAGAGAGACAACUUUCUAACAGAGGGGCAUUUGUUUUCACACUAAGAAGAAAGUGAGUUUUUAGGAAAAGCUACUGUGAUCUAGAAAUUAUUGGGUUAAUAAAUGCUAAAUUAACUUCGUUCUUCAGUGAUUUAAAGUUAUAUUUUAAUCUGUGGUUGUGACAUCAAACAAAAAAUUCUGUAAAAAAGUUGGGCAAUAAAUUCUAUAUGAUGUAAAGCAGAUCUUCAGUAAAAUUAAAUGACCAUUUGAAGCGAACGAGAGUAGUAAACAUGUGGUGUAUAACGUUGGUUGCAUCAGUAACACUUUACUCAUUCAAAGUAUUUACAUUGUAAUGCUUGAUAAUACAGUGUGUAAAUGCAGAAUGUGAAAAAUCACCUCCAAUAAUUUCAGUUUUACUCAAAAUAGCACUUGAACUGAACUAAAGCCUGUUC